UCUUGUUUGGAGUUGUGUGGGGUUGAAUAAUUAUGUUUGUAAUAUUUUUGAAGUUGGUAGAAAAAGAAAAGAAAAAUAGAAAAAUAAAAUAGAAAAAAAAAUGAAUGAAAAAAUAAAUAGAAGGAGGUAUACAUGUCAAUACAUACUUAUUAUGAAAAAGAAAAAAAAAAAAUAAAAAGAGAAAUGAGAAGAAAAAUAUGAAUGAAAACAGUUACUAUAGAGUUAUUGAAGUGAAUGAA
rnacentral:lncRNA from 1 species